rnacentral:rRNA from 1 species
GAUGAACGCUAGCUACAGGCUUAACACAUGCAAGUCGAGGGGUAACGAGAGGAAAGCUUGCUUUCCUUGUCGACGACCGGCGCACGGGUGAGUAACGCGUAUCCAACCUGCCCCCAACUAGGGAAUAACCUUGCGAAAGUAAGACUAAUACCCUAUAAUUUCCUCAGAUGUCAUCUGACGAGGAAUAAAGAUUUAUCGGUUGUGGAUGGGGAUGCGUCUGAUUAGCUUGUUGGCGGGGUAACGGCCCACCAAGGCAACGAUCAGUAGGGGUUCUGAGAGGAAGGUACCCCACAUUAGAACUGGGACACGGUCCAAACUCCUACGGGAGGCAGCAGUGAGGAAUAUUGGUCAAUGGGCGGAAGCCUGAACCAGCCAAGUAGCGUGCAGGAUGACGGCCCUAUGGGUUGUAAACUGCUUUUAUACAGGAAUAAAGUUAGCCACGUGUGGUUAUUUGUAGGUACUGUAUGAAUAAGGACCGGCUAAUUCCGUGCCAGCCGCCGCCGUAA